ACCGACGACGGCGAUUACAACGUCAAGCUGCGCAAUCUCGUCCGCUUCCUCGAGGAUGGCGACAAGACGAAGAUCACGUUGCGUUUCCGCGGCCGCGAAAUGGCUCACCAGGAAAUCGGCAUGCGCAUGCUCGAGCGCCUGCGUACCGAUCUGGAAGAAGUCGGUCAGGUCGAGCAGAUGCCGAAGAUGGAAGGGCGCCAGAUGAUCAUGGUGCUCGCUCCGAAGAAGAAGAAGUAAGCUGGCGCGCCGCGCGAUGCAAUCCGCGCGGUGGCCAAAUGCAGUUUUCAAUGACGCCUUCGGCGCACUUGCGCGCGGA
rnacentral:misc_RNA from 1 species